AGGAUGAACCACUUGUCCCUAAGUGAGCUGUGCUGCCUAUUCUGCUGCCCCCCCAUGCCCCAGCAAGAUCACCUCCAAGCUGGCCUUCCUGCCCCCGGAGCCCACCUACACCCUCUUGUGUGACGAGAGCGGCAGUCGCUGGACCCUGCACCUGUCUGAGCGAGCAGACUGGCAGUACUCGGCACGUGAGAAGGACGCCAUCGAGUGCUUCAUGACUCGCACUUCGCGUGGAAACCGCAUCGCCUGCAUGUUUGUGCGCUGCUCGCCCAGUGCCCGCUUCACGCUCCUCUUCUCGCACGGCAACGCCGUGGACCUGGGCCAGAUGAGCAGCUUCUACAUCGGCCUGGGCUCACGCAUCAACUGCAACGUCUUCUCCUACGACUACUCUGGCUACGGGGCCAGCUCGGGGAAACCUUCGGAAAAGAACCUGUACGCCGACGUGGACGCCGCCUGGCACUCCCUCAGGACACGGUACGGAAUUAGGCCAGAGAACGUGAUCGUGUAUGGUCAGAGUAUCGGUACGGUCCCGUCCGUGGACCUGGCGGCACGCUACGAGAGCGCCGCGGUCGUACUGCAUUCCCCCCUCACCUCUGGCAUGAGAGUGGCCUUCCCAGACACCAAGAAAACCUACUGCUUUGAUGCCUUUCCCAAUAUUGACAAGAUCUCCAAGGUGACGUCUCCAGUGCUGGUUAUCCACGGGACGGAAGACGAGGUGAUCGACUUCUCCCACGGCCUGGCACUGUACGAGCGCUGCCAGAGGCCUGUGGAGCCCCUGUGGGUGGAAGGUGCCGGCCACAACGACGUCGAGCUCUACGGACAGUACCUGGAGCGCUUGAAACAGUUUGUGGCCCACGAGCUCGUCAACUUGUCAACUUGACUUCGACCCUUAGUCACCCACCUGCUGCAACUGUGAACAUUUUGAAAUGCCCAUCCUUUUUUUAUUUUAAGUUUUGUAUAUUUUAGUUCAUCAUUUGAAACAGCUUGGUGAUGAGAGACGGAGGGGAUGAUGGAAGGAUAUAAUAACAUGCCAUUUAGCAGACGCUUUUAUCCAUAGCGACUUAGUCAUGGGUGCAUAUAUUUUACAUACGGGUGGUCCAGGAAUCCAACCCCACUAUCCUAGCUGGAAUGUGCCCUUUACCAACUGAGAUACAUUGGACCACUUGAGUGUACUCAAUUAUUGUGUGUUUUGAGCACAGAAGAGCAGUUGGAUUCUGUGUGCUUGUCACAUUUUUUUGCUGCCUUUCAGGAUGCGGUUCUGGUCCAAUGUAUGGACAUCUGACACACACCUAAGAGGUUUCUGUGGAGUAGCUAUGAUGGAUGGAAGACUGGACCACCACUCAACUAAGUCUGUAUUGACUAAGGAGCCAAAUCUACUACAAUGUGGUCAACAUGGAUGUUUUGUUUAUUUUUAUAUAUAUAUGUUUGCACCUAUCAUAUGUUACAUAGAACUGUACAAGAUAGAACUCUGACAUUUUAAAAUGGCAGUGCCAGUGUUCCCAACUGUUCAGCAUAUUGAAGAAAGCACUGGGUACGGACAUCAUCCUAGAAACCUCUCAAAUUGUAUAAGCAAUACAAAGCUUUUUGUUUCAUGUAUUCUUUCAGUAAAGCUGCUACGACUCAAUUUUAUAUAGUAAAAUGAAUAAUAAAGCUCUAUCAUUUCAGAGGAAUAGCAUUUCUAGAUAUUGAUUUUGUAUAAACUGCUUGCACACCUGGGGUAGUUAUUGUAACAUAGUUUAAGACUCUUGUCACUGAUGCCAUAAAGCUUUGAAAAACAGUCGAAGUCGUUAAUGCGUGAUAGGAAAUUGCUUUGAAGACAGCUUGGUUUUAAGGAGGAUACAACUGGACUCUUGCGCACUUUUUGUUUAACUCUUAUAUCUGACAGAAUACAUGUUUUUUUCUGAGGGGGGGAUUUCUGAGCGACCCUAUUAAUGCAGAAUAAGGUAAAACAUUUACCAAUCACAUACUUUAUUCUAUUAGUAAGACACUAAGUGGAAGCGGAUUUUGUUAUCAAGUGCUACUGCAUGCCAUGAUAGGCUAGUGUUUUCUUAACCUUUUUAGCUGGCUCAAUUCUGGCUAGCUCAAGGCCAUGCAUGCUACCCAUAACCUCUAGUUUUGAUUGGUACUGUCUGAUGAACUGUUUGGAUUGGUUGUUGAUAUUAGAGUAAUCAAGAAUGGUUAGGAUUGGUUGUUGCCGUUCGAUAAUGUGUCGUUGAACUCUACUGGAGACUUUUCUGUACUUCAAUGUAAUGCUUUCAUCUGUUUUCAAUUUAUAAAUAGUUUGUACUUGGACAAGCCUCUAAAUUAUAGUUGUAAGUACUACUGUAACUUGAAUAUGAUCCGGCAUCCAUCUGUGGUGAGCAUUUCUAAAUUAUUCCUGAUGACCGUUGAAAGAUAUGGUCACCCAGACGAUGUGAUUUCUGUUUGUUUUUGUUUCCAAGACGCUGCAUUACUGAAGGAAAUUAUGUAACGUUAUCUUGAUUAGUGAUUAAUAAAAAUGGAUAUAAACUAAG